ensembl:lncRNA
AAGAGGAAUGCAGCACACUACAGAUUUCGAAACCUUUGAGGCGUGACCACCAGACAAUCAAACGCUUUGAUAUGAAUAUGCAUGGUCGCAAAAAACGUGUGGAGUAGAAAAGGCGCAAGUUGAUUGCAAGCGCGUUAGUCCCCAGUACCGCCAUAUUUCAGAACUGCAACCUUCCAGGAGUGUCCAGAUGUACGAGGUGUCAGGCGCUGAAACAUGACCACCACUGAAUAAGUCUCACAAGCUUAAGUGUCAUGACAGGGCCAAGAAAUACCAGAAGAGCAAUUUCUCAAAGGUUUUAUGGACAGAUGAAUGAACAGUGACUCUAGAUGGCCCAGAUGGGUGGGCCCGUGUGUGGAUCACUAAUGAACACGGAGUACCAGUUUGAGUGGAGGGGUACUGCUGUGGGCUGGUUAUUAUUAAUGAUGAGCUAGUUGGACCUUUUUGGGUCCAAAAAAAAAAAAAAAAAAAUUGGACUGAAAAUCAACUCCCAAACCUACUGCAAGGUUCUAGAAGACACUUUCUUUAAGAAGUGGUACAGGAAGAAAGCAACAUUCAAGAAGGCCAUGACCUUUAUGCAGGACAAUGCAUGGAGGUACACCACGGCUUGGCUAGUCAGCCGAGGCAUCAAUGAUGACCUGGUCUCCUACCUCACCUGACUUAAAUCCUACUGAGACCUUCUGGGCCAUUCUCAAACAGAAGAUUUACAAUGAGGGUGUACCCCGCCUUGUGCCCCAUGCUCCCUGGGAUAGGCUCCAGGUUCCCCGUGACCCUGAAAAGGAUAAACGGUAUAGAAGAUGGAUGGAUGGAUGGAUGGCUUAAAAUAUGAAUGCUCAUAAAUUGAAGAUGAAAUUAAGGAAGGACCAAUGUUAUCGGAAGGACCUUUAAUGGGAAUGUACAAAUCAACGUGAGCUAGCUAGUAAGCUAGCCAGUGUGCUAUAAAGUGAGUCUGGUUUCUUUGGGUUCUAUUUCCACUAGCGGAACAAAAAUAAACAGAACCUUUGGCUAAUUUCUUGUUUAUAGAAUUUUAUAUAAUAUUGCAUGGGCAAGAGGGCAGUUAUACUGAAUAUCGGCACGGCUGUGAACCCCCCCGGCCUCGAUAUUCAGUACAACCACACUCGUGCUUAUGUGAUAUUGCAUAAUUAUACUGAACUAUGCAAAUGGUGGCAGUAAUUAGGUAUCUUACUCCAUGAAGUGCUCC